UACGUAGGUGGCGAGCGUUGUCCGGCUUUACUGGGCGUAAAGAGCGCGCAGGCGGCUGGUCAAGUCCGAUGUGAAAGCUCCCGGCUUAACUGGGAAAGGUCAACUGAUACUGUGCGACUAGAGUGCGGAAGGGGCAACUGGAAUUCUCGGUGUAGCGGUGAAAUGCGUAGAUAUCGAGAGGAACACCUGCGGCGAAGGCGGGUUGCUGGGCCGACACUGACGCUGAUGCGCGAAAGCCAGGGGAGCGAACGGG
rnacentral:rRNA from 1 species